rnacentral:rRNA from 1 species
AGUGAUGGCGCAGGCCUAACACAUGCAGUCGAGCGCGCCCUUCGGGGUGAGCGGCGGACGGGUUAGUAACGCGUGGGAACGUGCCCAGAUCUAAGGAAUAGCCACUGGAAACGGUGAGUAAUACCUUAUACGCCCUUCGGGGGAAAGAUUUAUCGGAUUUGGAUCGGCCCGCGUUAGAUUAGGUAGUUGGUGGGGUAAUGGCCUACCAAGCCUACGAUCUAUAGCUGGUUUUAGAGGAUGAUCAGCAACACUGGGACUGAGACACGGCCCAGACUCCUACGGGAGGCAGCAGUGGGGAAUCUUGGACAAUGGGGGCAACCCUGAUCCAGCCAUGCCGCGUGAGUGAUGAAGGCCUUAGGGUCGUAAAGCUCUUUCGCCUGUGAUGAUAAUGACAGUAGCAGGUAAAGAAACCCCGGCUAACUCCGUGCCAGCAGUCGCGGUAAUACGGAGGGGGUUAGCGUUGUUCGGAAUUACUGGGCGUAAAGCGCGCGUAGGCGGAUUAGUCAGUUAGAGGUGAAAUCCCAGGGCUCAACCCUGGAACUGCCUUUAAUACUGCUAGUCUUGAGUUCGAGAGAGGUGAGUGGAAUUCCGAGUGUAGAGGUGAAAUUCGUAGAUAUUCGGAGGAACACCAGUGGCGAAGGCGGCUCGCUGGCUCGAUACUGACGCUGAGGUGCGAAAGUGUGGGGAGCAAACAGGAUUAGAUACCCUGGUAGUCCACACCGUAAACGAUGAAUGCCAGUCGUCGGCAAGCAUGCUUGUCGGUGACACACCUAACGGAUUAAGCAUUCCGCCUGGGGAGUACGGCCGCAAGAUUAAAACUCAAAUGAAUUUGACGG